UUAAGUUAUUAAGGGCGCACGGUGGAUGCCUUGGCACUAGAAGCCGAUGAAGGACGUUACUAACGACGAUAUGCUUUGGGGAGCUGUAAGUAAGCUUUGAUCCAGAGAUUUCCGAAUGGGGAAACCCAGCAUGAGUUAUGUCAUGUUAUCGAUAUGUGAAUACAUAGCAUAUCAGAAGGCACACCCGGAGAACUGAAACAUCUUAGUACCCGGAGGAAGAGAAAGAAAAUUCGAUUCCCUUAGUAGCGGCGAGCGAAACGGGAAGAGCCCAAACCAACAAGCUUGCUUGUUGGGGUUGUAGGACACUCUAUACGGAGUUACAAAGGACGACAUUAGACGAAUCAUCUGGAAAGAUGAAUCAAAGAAGGUAAUAAUCCUGUAGUCGAAAAUGUUGUCUCUCUUGAGUGGAUCCUGAGUACGACGGAGCACGUGAAAUUCCGUCGGAAUCUGGGAGGACCAUCUCCUAAGGCUAAAUACUCUCUAGUGACCGAUAGUGAACCAGUACCGUGAGGGAAAGGUGAAAAGCACCCCGGAAGGGGAGUGAAAUAGAACCUGAAACCGUGUGCUUACAAGUAGUCAGAGCCCGUUAAUGGGUGAUGGCGUGCCUUUUGUAGAAUGAACCGGCGAGUUACGAUUUGAUGCAAGGUUAAGCAGUAAAUGUGGAGCCGUAGCGAAAGCGAGUCUGAAUAGGGCGUUUAGUAUUUGGUCGUAGACCCGAAACCAGGUGAUCUACCCUUGGUCAGGUUGAAGUUCAGGUAACACUGAAUGGAGGACCGAACCGACUUACGUUGAAAAGUGAGCGGAUGAACUGAGGGUAGCGGAGAAAUUCCAAUCGAACCUGGAGAUAGCUGGUUCUCUCCGAAAUAGCUUUAGGGCUAGCCUCAAGUGGUGAUUAUUGGAGGUAGAGCACUGUUUGGACGAGGGGCCCCUCUCGGGUUACCGAAUUCAGACAAACUCCGAAUGCCAAUUAAUUUAACUUGGGAGUCAGAACAUGGGUGAUAAGGUCCGUGUUCGAAAGGGAAACAGCCCAGACCACCAGCUAAGGUCCCAAAAUAUAUGUUAAGUGGAAAAGGAUGUGGCGUUGCCCAGACAACUAGGAUGUUGGCUUAGAAGCAGCCAUCAUUUAAAGAGUGCGUAAUAGCUCACUAGUCGAGUGACACUGCGCCGAAAAUGUACCGGGGCUAAACAUAUUACCGAAGCUGUGGAUUGUCCUUUGGACAAUGGUAGGAGAGCGUUCUAAGGGCGUUGAAGCAUGAUCGUAAGGACAUGUGGAGCGCUUAGAAGUGAGAAUGCCGGUGUGAGUAGCGAAAGACGGGUGAGAAUCCCGUCCACCGAUUGACUAAGGUUUCCAGAGGAAGGCUCGUCCGCUCUGGGUUAGUCGGGUCCUAAGCUGAGGCCGACAGGCGUAGGCGAUGGAUAACAGGUUGAUAUUCCUGUACCACCUAUAAUCGCUUUAAUCGAUGGGGGGACGCAGUAGGAUAGGCGAAGCGUGCGAUUGGAUUGCACGUCUAAGCAGUAAGGCUGAGUAUUAGGCAAAUCCGGUACUCGUUAAGGCUGAGCUGUGAUGGGGAGAAGACAUUGUGUCUUCGAGUCGUUGAUUUCACACUGCCGAGAAAAGCCUCUAGAUAGAAAAUAGGUGCCCGUACCGCAAACCGACACAGGUAGUCAAGAUGAGAAUUCUAAGGUGAGCGAGCGAACUCUCGUUAAGGAACUCGGCAAAAUGACCCCGUAACUUCGGGAGAAGGGGUGCUCUUUAGGGUUAACGCCCAGAAGAGCCGCAGUGAAUAGGCCCAAGCGACUGUUUAUCAAAAACACAGGUCUCUGCUAAACCGUAAGGUGAUGUAUAGGGGCUGACGCCUGCCCGGUGCUGGAAGGUUAAGAGGAGUGGUUAGCUUCUGCGAAGCUACGAAUCGAAGCCCCAGUAAACGGCGGCCGUAACUAUAACGGUCCUAAGGUAGCGAAAUUCCUUGUCGGGUAAGUUCCGACCCGCACGAAAGGCGUAACGAUUUGGGCACUGUCUCAACGAGAGACUCGGUGAAAUCAUAGUACCUGUGAAGAUGCAGGUUACCCGCGACAGGACGGAAAGACCCCGUGGAGCUUUACUGUAGCCUGAUAUUGAAAUUCGGCACAGCUUGUACAGGAUAGGUAGGAGCCUUUGAAACGUGAGCGCUAGCUUACGUGGAGGCGCUGGUGGGAUACUACCCUAGCUGUGUUGGCUUUCUAACCCGCACCACUUAUCGUGGUGGGAGACAGUGUCAGGCGGGCAGUUUGACUGGGGCGGUCGCCUCCUAAAAGGUAACGGAGGCGCUCAAAGGUUCCCUCAGAAUGGUUGGAAAUCAUUCAUAGAGUGUAAAGGCAUAAGGGAGCUUGACUGCGAGACCUACAAGUCGAGCAGGGUCGAAAGACGGACUUAGUGAUCCGGUGGUUCCGCAUGGAAGGGCCAUCGCUCAACGGAUAAAAGCUACCCCGGGGAUAACAGGCUUAUCUCCCCCAAGAGUUCACAUCGACGGGGAGGUUUGGCACCUCGAUGUCGGCUCAUCGCAUCCUGGGGCUGUAGUCGGUCCCAAGGGUUGGGCUGUUCGCCCAUUAAAGCGGUACGCGAGCUGGGUUCAGAACGUCGUGAGACAGUUCGGUCCCUAUCCGUCGUGGGCGUAGGAAAUUUGAGAGGAGCUGUCCUUAGUACGAGAGGACCGGGAUGGACAUACCUCUGGUGUACCAGUUGUCGUGCCAACGGCAUAGCUGGGUAGCUAUGUGUGGACGGGAUAAGUGCUGAAAGCAUCUAAGCAUGAAGCCCCCCUCAAGAUGAGAUUUCCCAACUUCGGUUAUAAGAUCCCUCAAAGAUGAUGAGGUUAAUAGGUUCGAGGUGGAAGCAUGGUGACAUGUGGAGCUGACGAAUACUAAUCGAUCGAAGACUUAAUCAA
rnacentral:rRNA from 1 species